CCAGUGUUCAGAAGGUUGUCUUGUGUGGGCAGGUUAUUUCCCAGCUGAGCUGAACGUGUGUCUGUGCACUUGUCUUUCCAGGUGACCCAAGACAGCUGGAACAAGUGACCGCAAGACCACACUGUGGGUCCUGAGAGCUGCCUUUCCCAUCUGCUUCAGCCCUACACCAAGUAGUCCUGGAUGUGUCCAGCUCUUUACAGAGAUGUACAAAGCCUCACCUGUAUGGCCCGAAUCCCUGCCCAGCCCAUCUCACUGCUCUGGCCUGCACUAGACUUGAGACUUUCUACAUCGCAGCUGGAAAGAGGUCCUUUGGAACUGGGUAUUUUUUGGCUGUUGAAACAUAGUGCCCUUGCUGAGGCUUCACCGGACUGGAGGAAGAGAGGAAAGCUGAACCUGGCAUAG
rnacentral:lncRNA from 1 species